GAUGAAGAACGCAGCGAAAUGCGAUACUUGGUGUGAAUUGCAGAAUCCCGUGAACCAUCGAGUCUUUGAACGCAAGUUGCGCCUCAAGCCAUUAGGUUGAGGGCACGUCUGCCUGGGCGUCACAUAUCGUUGCCUGAUGCCAGUUUCCUCGUGAUGGGUGACUGUGCAGGGCGAAUGAUGGCUUCCCGUGAGCAUUGUUGCCUCAUGGUUGGUUGAAAAUUGAGUCCUUGGUAGGGAGCGCCGUGAUAGAUGGUGGUUGAGUGAAAAACGAGACCCAAUCAUGUGAGACCCCUACCGAAUUUGGCCUUCAUGACCCACAUGCGUCUUUGGAACGCUCAUGACGAGACCUCAGGUCAGGCGGGGCUACCCGCUGAGUUUAAGCAUAUCAAUAAGCGGAGGA
rnacentral:misc_RNA from 1 species